rnacentral:rRNA from 1 species
UACAGAGGGGCAAGCGUUGUUCGGAAUUACUGGGCGUAAAGCGCGUGUAGGCUGCUUCGCAAGUCGGAUGUGAAAGCCCUGGGCUCAACCCAGGAAGUGCAUUCGAAACUGCAGAGCUGGAGUCCUGGAGAGGAAGGCGGAAUUCUCGGUGUAGAGGUGAAAUUCGUAGAUAUCGAGAGGAACACCGGUGGCGAAGGCGGCCUUCUGGACAGUGACUGACGCUGAGACGCGAAAGCGUGGGGAGCAAACAGG